rnacentral:lncRNA from 1 species
AAAUUAGUAACAAUUACCAAAUUAAUUUUAUCUUGUUCUUCUCUGGUCCAACACUUGGAGAUGAUGUUCCUCAGGUUGCUCGAAGCCACACGAAGUCAUCUGGCCUCUAUAAAAAAAUUCACACAAAAACUAGCGCAGAUCAGGAGCUCGAAGAUGCUAGUUUGCGAACAACUUCGACAGCUGAUCUCUUCCUUCUUCUACAAGCACCUUAGACACUCCAAAGUGAUAGAAGAUAUGGAGGAGGAA